AUAUAAACAAACAGCAUUCGAGCACACCAAAGUCUAUUACUGCUAUAUGAAUAAUGCAGUAAUUGAAAAGUAAAAUACUGUUUCUUGGACUAAUAAAGUAAUUGUUUUAUAAAAUAGGACAAACAAAACAGCGCUUCCGCCGAGCGUCACGCAUUGCUACCGUUACUUGUCCUCUUGUUGACAUUUGUGUAGCAGAAGCCUUCCUUAUCAAUGGUAUCUGAAUGGCUUGUGAUUAGUGGUUGCGGCUGCAAGCGUAUCGCACUAUCAAUCAAGAAUGACGCGUCGUAGGACGACUUUGUGAUUGCUUAACAUAAUUAUGUAUUGUUUGUGCAGUGCACCACAGCUUGAUAUGGUAGUGGAAUGCUUAGGGGCCGAGUCAAGUUUGUAAAAUAGUGAAAUGAUCGUAGGCCAGAGCGUAAUGAUGGGUUCCCUUUGUCUCGGGUCUUCGCCGUCGAAGUCGAGGAAAAUCGUUUUACCGGGUGCAGUGGCCUCUUGUAUUAGCCUUUUGUGUCUUAUUGCUAUUCCUACUGUAGGACAGUCCGAGGAUACUACUUACAGCCCCAGUGGGGGAACGGUGCUAUAUGAAGUACUGGCAGGAAGACAAGUGUAUGUGUAUGGAGCGUACAAAGAUGUUCAGAUUUUUCACUUCUUGAUCCCACCUCGUGUUUCUACAGCUACUUUUAACUUCACAGCUAAUGAUACCCAGGCCUGUAAUCCCAGGAACAUAUCCAUUUUCUUACAACCACAUAGCUAUCCCGUGGUUAAUCCUGAUGGUUCAGAAUAUCCCUCUGCUUUCUGGGUAGAUCGCUCUGAAGUAUACAAACUAGAUUUGAAAUCCGAUCUGAAGCCAGCUUACUUGUCCGUCCCCUUUCCAGAAGCUGGAGAUUGGUUCAUGAUAGCCUUUAUUAGUGAAACAUCUAAUCGCAUCACUCAAGCGGGUCUGUUUCCUUCAUGUCACUCUUGGCUUCGUGUCAAAGCAAAAUAUGUCCAAGAAGAGCAAAUUACAACUGUUGUGCCUGAGAUACAUUCACAUCAAGAUUUCCAAUUUUAUCAGAAAAUUAAUGGUUCUCAAUAUUAUAGGUUUUACGUCCCGUCUUCUACAUGGUUAGUUGUGGUGAAUAUCAGCAACUGUUUUGCUCUUGAUGAUGUAGAAGACGAUUCUGCUUGUUUCCUAGACAUUGCCUUUAGAACUAGGGGGCUACCAAACCCUGAAUCUUCAGAUACAGUGAUACACAAAUGCGAAGGCGACAGAAAUACAUGCACCUUGGAGGUUAUCCCAGAAGAAGAGAAUUGGCAUUAUUUGCAACUGGAGACACGUGGCCGUCUUGUCCAGCUUAGUUUGGCAGUCAAGCUAUUUUUGUGUGAUGGUGCUGGAGGAACCAGUUAUCACCUUCUAAGUAGGUUUGAUAUUAAUGAGUUGUGCUCUGAAAGUGUGAGUGUUACAAGCCCUCCACUCUUAAAUUUCACUGAGUCGGAAAGCAAGGAUGCAGAUGUAUUUAGUGAAGAGGAAGGUGGUGCUAUUCCUUUCAAGAGUUUGCAGGCGAGACAUACUUUAUUUACACCAGCGGUGGACUCUACUCAACAUGGCAGCUGCUGGCCAAGACACAGUUUGGUUAAGAAGACUUUUGGUGGUAACUUUGUUUUCGAAUAUGAUCUGCCUCCAGAUGAAAAUGGCACUGUGCCUCUUCUUCUCAAUAUCUCCAAUGCAUCUCCAACAAUGUUAACUUUUGCUUUGGAAUCUAUCAUUGAUAUUGGUGGCACAUUAAGUGUUGAACUUGCUGUCUCUCCAUUUAUGAAUAUAAGCGUUCACAACUUCAGUGUAGCUGGGUGCUUAAGUCGUGGCAUACGUGAAACCCCAAGUUCUGACUGGGAAUGUUCAAAGGGUUAUAGUCUUUUAGUCAAUACCACAAGACCGUCUACUAUAGCUACUCAAGUGCUGAUUCCCUUUCCUGAACCAGGACCAUGGUACCUUACUUUAAGCCCAAGUUGCUUUCUCACUAAUGCUAGUGAUAUGGUAGAUUGUACAGUCAAUGAGACUACAAUUAUUUUUGGAGUGAGUUCUGCAUCAUGCCUGCAAGGGAAGUGUGGUAAAUAUGGUUCCUGCUAUCAAUAUAUAUCUGGGGGUUUCAUAUUUUCUACUUGUGUAUGUGAAGCAGGAUACCGUGGAUGGGGUUGUACAGAUAGUUCACAGGCAACAUCAAACUGGGAACUUUUGCUUGCGACACUGCUGUUGACACUCUCCAACCUCUUCUUUCUACCAGCAGUCAUCCUUGCCCUGAAGCGAAGAUAUUUUGCAGAGGCAACAGUUUAUGCCUUUACUAUGGUGUUCUCAACGUUUUACCAUGCCUGUGACCAAGAACCAUACAACUUUUGCAUCAUGCGACUGAGCGUCAUGCAGUUUUGUGAUUUCUACUCUGCUAUAUUUUCUUUUUGGGUCACCCUUAUUGUAAUGGCAGAUCUUCCACAGUCACUCUACUCCCUAUUACAUGUUGCUGGUGCAAUGGUUGUUGCUCUAGGAGUUGAGUAUGAUCGCACAGGUUUGUGGGUAUUUGUGGUUCCUUCAGUGUCUGCAUUCUUCAUUAUGGUAACCUCUUGGAUGUGGCACUGCAAGAAAGGGAAAGGUUGCUAUCCAACUAAAGGGUAUUGGCUGACUUGUUUGUUACCUGGUGUGCUUCUGGCUGCCUCAGGUCUCAUAUGUUAUGCCUUCCUGGAAACUCAUGACAACUAUUACUAUGUGCAUUCUGCCUGGCAUGCAACCAUGGCUCUUGCCAUUCUUUGUCUACUUCCUCCGCGCCGAGAAAAAAAUGGGUCCCAGGCCUUGGUGCGAUAUCCUGUAUUUGUAAUCGUCUCUCAAUGAAGUUCUGAUCAACCUUCCUCCAAUGUUUGAUUAAUGCCUUCAUCUCAAAUUCUCAAAGAUACAUCAAGAAAAAGGAGCCCUGGAAGAAGAGGAGCCCCUGUCAGGGGGCGAAGCCGAAGCCUCUGGAUCUGAGGCAUAAAAUCAUUCCCCCCGAACUGAACUUCUGCGUCAAGUUCUGGAGUCAACCCAAAAGGUCUUUGCAAGGUGCACAUUAUCUCAGAGAUGAUUAUUGUGGUUGUUUUUGUUACUUGGUUGUUGGCGCUGUCUGGCGGCCCUUUUAUGUUAUUUGGUCUGUUUUGAAUAUAGGAUAUUUUUUAACUUUAUAUUUAUAACAUGAUAUUAUGUGGACAUUUUUGAACCCAGCGUAUGGAGUUGUGGUAGUCUUGGAUGACUUUGGUUAUGCCGUGAUGGUCUAGUGAUUUUACGCCACUAUGAUAUUGUUCAUGUUGGUCUAAAGCUUUAACGCAAUGUCUGCUGGUUUAAAGAUACGAAUCCUCUUGUGAAUAAUCAAUUUAGUAUUACAGAGAUCUUUGAUUGCUCUUAUAAUGAUAAACUAACGUGGAAUCUUAGUUAAAAAAAAUAAUGAAAUUAUGUUAUGGGUAAUAAACUUUAAUGAUUGUUGUAUGGAUCAUGCGAACCCAUUUGUCAUGACGUGAGAAAUGGAAGAGUUCAAAUACUAACUCAGAAUAUAUAUAUAUAUAUAUAUAUAUAUAUAUAUAUAUAUAUAUAUAUAUAUAUAUAUAAUUUUAACGUGAGGCCUUAAGACCUUACUUCCAGGAUGUAUAUUUGAAAAUAUACGACCUAGCGUCUAGAGUGCAUCUUGAACUGCAGGCCAUUUGGAGUACAUUUUGAUUUUUAUGUACUCAUAUAAUGUAUUUUGUAUUUAGAAAAAUAAAAGACAAGUAUUGGCGUAAUUAAUCUUACACGAAUGCUAUUUGUGGCAUUAGAUUAUUUUAAGUUAUUUUCCUGUUAUUGAAACUAGCAGAUAAGCAUUUAACUUUACCAUUUUUCAGGAGGUACUAUAUUGACUGUCGACUGGUUGUUAUUGUAUUCAGUUAAAUGUACAAUGAGUCAUGAAUUCUCGAACAAUAAUUUUCAUUCUUUGUAUGUGUCAGGAUUUAUGAUUUGUAAGGCAUGUGUUUGUGAUGCCGUGCAAACGGCUAUUAUGUGUAACAAUAAUGCGUUGUUAAUGGCGAAUGUAUAAUUACUGAUGACAUUUUAGUCCCUAGAGCUAAGAUGUGGAUGGUGGUUACUUGCACUCGCAUUUUACUUCCUCUGU